ACGUUUGAGGAAAAUAAUCUGUCGUUAUUCUCUGCCCUGUCUGUUUUUAACCAACAGAUUUAUUAAUUUCGUAAAUGUCAUUCAAACCAUUUUUACAAAUAAUAAUGAUGAUGAUAUGUUUGUUUGUCACGGAGUAGCUAUGGAGGAAAUACAUGCUGCAGUGUUUCACAUAUGUAAAACGUCCUUCAUGUGGUGCAAAGUAAUUUUGAUGCCCUUUGGAAGUAUAGUGAACAUUGGUGCUUGUUUCACUUAUAUUGUCUGAGUUCUGAAACUGAAGUGUCAAGUAUACUGUGGUUCCACUUUCUCCAAACAAUUUAUUCUUUUAGGCUGGCACAGCUGAGACCAAUUGUGGACGUUUUUUGUAACAUGCCUUCUAACUAUCUGGCAAAAUUUAACACCUAAGAAGAUAUUAAUUUAACAUUCACUCCAAAAAGUCUGAACAUUAUGUCUGUUUGCAUAAUCUAUUGUAAAUCUAUUGUAAUUUCACAGUUGUGCCUUGGAAUCAAUUUUUAAUGUGCUGGAAAAACUUUUGAACUGUACAUAUAUACUUCGCCACAAUAUGAAUAAAGAGGCACUUCUGCUUUUUAA